UCCAGGAAGCCUAAGAGUAUGACUAUCCUGAGGUAGAAAGAGGGUCACAUGCUGGAUAAGAGGUACCUGGGCUCUCCACUUACAAGAAGAGAGCAUGGUUACAUUUAUAAUCACCAUUCCCAACAUGCUGUGAGUGCAGGCAGCUACCAGGAGGAGAACAAAGGAAAUAACCAGGACACUCAUCUCUAAACCUGUUAAUUUAAUCACACGGAACACUUCUAUUUAAAAUUCCCGAGAGUUAAGAUGUAAGAAUGCUUAUCAAGGUAAAUGCUGUUCACACUGCUUGGAGUGUCAGGCCUAGAUCUCUAUCCAUCAGAAACAACAAUAUCAAUAACAACAACAGCAACAUGAUGAUGGGGCAAUUUCUUAAAAGCACCAUGUAUUUUAUCGAUACAUGUCCGUUGCAGAAAAUCCAGGUGAAUCCAAAGAAGAAAUAAAUGUCUUCCACAAUCCCAUAGCCCAGAGCUAACUAACCACUAUAAAGAACCCAGCGUGGUUUUAACUAAUGGAUCAAAAGAUGCUCAUCAAAGGCUCUGAGCUUUCCUGAGUGCUAACAGGAAACAUCCAGCAUCACUGGUCUCUCCAAGGCUGCAGGUGUCUUUGCCCAUAGUGCCUGUUUUGUGUCAGGGAAAGAAUCAACCUGGGAGCCAAGCCCAGGAAUCAGGAUGACCAAGACAUACUGCACAAGGAGGGAACAAACCCAUCCAAGGACACUCAAGGACAAAUCAAGCAAAUGAAUUUAAGGGAGACGUGCUCAUGGUCUGCUUUGCUGCUCAGCAUGGCUGGGAGGCACAGUGGAAGAUCAUGCAUCCUGCCCCUGGGACUCCUCUGCCAGAGCCUGAGAGCUUUCUCCUGCCCACAGGCUAGGGGUAGGGCAGUUGGAAUUGAUCCAUGCCUUCUAGCUAGACUGUGGGUCCCCUCAGUCUUGGGCAUGGUGACAGCCCAGCAUCAGACAGAGGUCAGUAUCAAACUAGAAAAUUUAAUAAAUACUGUCAGAUUUGUAGACCCAAGAAAAUAUAAACUGCCAAUCACGGAGGAAAAAAAUCUCUCAAUGAUCUUAUCUUUAUAUGAUUCCCUUGCUGCCUGGAGAUUGACAUUUCCUUGGGGAUAAUCUGGUCAUAGGAUUGGUGAAGGUGGAAGGGAGGCAACCUCCAAAGGUGGGGCCCUCUGCUCACCUGGGACAGGGAGGGCCUGAGGUAGGUGUCUGUGUGGGCUGGGGAGGAGGAUGGGAGCAGUGCUUCUAGAUGUUUCCACUUUCUCCUCAUUAGAUAAUAACGAAUGGGUGAUUUCCCUAGUCACUGCAGUGUGAGGAAAUCUACAAAAUUAAUUUCACAAUACGCUUUACAGGAUAGGUGGAGAAACACAUGAAGUACAACUGCAGUGGGUUAUAAAAAACGGCCUUUCGAGUUGAGCAAUAAAUUCGUUCAAGCAGCCAUUCUGAAGGACAAACUGGCUCUGUAUUUAAGAGGGGCAUUCCAGCACUUCUCUAGCCACUGGGUUGACAAUGACUCACCAAAGCCUCUGGUAGCCACCACAGGACACCCAGAGCAUAUGUUUUAAAGCUGAACACCAAACUGCGGACUUCGGGAGUAAGUGAACUGACUGGUUUUUAUUUUGUUUUACUGCUUUUAACAUUACAGUAACUGUUACAGGUUCCAGCAGGCUAACUGGGUGGAAAUGAGUUUGGUUUCACUUAGUCUCUCUAAAGAGAAAGCAAGUCGGUAGACUAAUACCUAAUAAAAGCAAAGCUGCCAACAAUUGAAAUUGCCUAGGCUGCUCUGUGUGUCCCACAUGCAUGGGUGUGGGUGCCAGUGUGUGUGCGUGUGUGCAUGCAUGUGCAUGUGUGUUGGGAUAGAGUGGUAAGAAAAUGGGAAAUAAUAAGAAUGUUCAGUCCAUAGCCCUUCAUUAUAAAAAGGUGAGCUGUAAUAAAUACUAGUGCCACAUUUAGCCAAAACUUUACUCCAGCCAAAGGUGAUAUUUUCAUGAUAACAUCCUGUGAUUGCUUUGUUCUUCGUCUUUUAUGUUCUUCCUAGAUGGGCUCAGAACAUACAAGAAUUAAGUACACAUCUUAUUUUCCAGUGAUAAUGCUACCGGCAAAUUCUGUUGUUUGUAUAAACAUCAGCCAUGUUUAUAUAACUAAACUAGUGUUUUGUUUUGUCAAUUCAGCAAGAAAUUAGACCAAAUGGUGGCUUAAUGCUGCAUUGAUUUGGCUAUCAAUUUGUUUUCACUUUUCUGCAAAAUAAUUAAUACAUUAUUAAAUUGAAUUGUGCUGAUGCCACAGUUGUUCUUAUCUCAAGUGUCUUAAAAUUCAUUUAAUUUGUUUUUCCUUUGGUUUCAUUAUUCAAAUUUUAACUUCAGUUCUCAAGAUUUUAUCUGAUGGAAGAGAUGGAGUCCAUUACUAAGGACUCCAUUGUGCUCCAUCAUGCCAGAGUUGUAAAAUAGAUCUUUUAAAGGAAAUUUACUGUGAUUUUUUUUCUAUUUAAGAGCUUCCUCUCCAGUUGAGCAUGUAAGAAAAUUAUACCAGGAGAAUACAGUAAACUCUAUGAGGCAAGCUAUAAACAUGUAGCAUUGUGAUUAGGGCUGGUUCUCCUUCUAGAGACAUGGUAGGAUUGCAAUUUCAUACCAUCCUUGAAGUUAGAGAGAGCCACGUGACUCAUUUAGCCAAUGAACUGUGAGCAGAAUGACAUGUCACUUCCAGCUGAAGCUUUAACAAUCUGAGAGACAUUCAUACAUUUUCCAUGUGCUGUAGCCUUAUACCCAAAGCCUGGGUCCCAAGUGACCAUGACAGGCAGAGCUCCCUGUUGAGCCACAGAGAUUUAGAGAAUGGCUGUUAACACAGCAUAAUCCAGCCCAUCCUGACUAAUCUGAUAUUAACAUGUAUAAUAAAGAAUUCUAUCAAUGCUGAGGGAAGAUGACUAGUUAAGGUCCUAGGUUGCAAGUCUCAAAACCUCUUCUAAGGAUUGUAGACAGGAAAUUAAAUGACUUCUAGUCCCUAGAGUUCCCAAUCUCCUACCAUCCCAUCCUAAUAUGACAGAAGUAAUUCCUGAGUUGCUUCUGAAACCAGAGCUUCCCUCAGAACCCUUAGCCUGCCAGAUGGCUUCUUGGAGAGCCCUCACUCACUUUUCUCCUUCUGCUAUUGCUGCUCAUUCAUUCCAGUUUUUAAAAAUUCAUCUUUAUCCAGGAACCUCGCUUCUAGAAAAGUCAUACAGGUGCUUCCAGGAGGCUACAUGGGCACCCAUAUUUUUCUAGCCACUUUCAUUAGACCAAUGCAGCAGAGAAGAAAAGCCUCAAUAAUUAUUAUGACAUGGCAUGUUAGGAUACCAAGUAAAUUGCAUUUGUAAAAUGUGAUUUUCUGUUGGUGUUCACUUCAGCUCUACUGACAUUUGGUAAGUAUUAUUGACUGACUGACUAACUAAUGUGGUCAUUAGUCUUCAUAAAGAAAGGCUCUCUACAAAAACGGAGGGAUGCCCUUUUUCUGGCAUUUAAUACGUAAGAAAUUGCCUCCAAUAGAAACCAGAGUUGCCUGAUUACUAUCAGCACAGGAGAAAUGUAUUAAUGUGCCUUUCUAGUAACAGGUUUUUAGAAAGUCAAAUAUAAACAAAUCUGUCUAUUUGUGUGUGUGCAUGUGGUAGUGGGGAGGGAAGAAAAAAGGAGGGGGAGAGAAAGAGAAAUAAGAACCAAGUUUAUUAUACUGUAUUCAGGGGGAAAAAAUUUUCCCAAGGUCCUAACAGAAGAGCAAAGUGCCACUGUCAAUAGCCUCAGUAGUGUUAGGGUUGCUUUUAUUUAUUUAUUUAUUUAUUUAUUUAUUUAUUUAUUUAUUUUUCCUUUUUUUUCUUUCUCUUUUUUUCUUCUUUUUUUUUUCUUUUCUUUCUUUUUUUUUUUUUUUUUUUUUUUUGGACAGAGUCUCACACUGUCACCUGGGCUGGAGUGCAUUGGUGCAAUCUCGACUCACUGCAACUUCUGCCUCCCAGGUUCAAGUGAUUCUCCUGCCUCAGCCGCCCAAGUAGCUGGGAUUACAGGUGUCUGCCACCGUGCCUAGCUAAUUUUUUUGUAUUUUUAGUAGAGAUGAGGUUUCACUAUGUUGGCCAGGCUGGUCUCAAACUCCUGACCUCAUGAUCCACCCACGUUGGCCUCCCAAAGUGCUGGGAUUACAGGCGUGAGCCACCGCCCCUGGCCAGGAUUGCUUUUACAGCCAGUCUUCAGGUGCCCACUGUAGGAACAAUGUCAUUUAACCCUCGGGAUUAUUCUGUGCCAAAUAUGGAUAAUGACUAAUAUCCAACACAGAUAUUCUCAGCUCAGAAGAGCAAUUAGCAAAUUCAUAAAUUAAGUGCUUGCUUCCUCUUUAGUCAAAUACAAACGUUUGUUAAAAGAUAUUAUUUUGCUUUACACUUUUUCUCUCAGAAAUAAGCAGAUGCUUGAAUUCCCACAGUGCUGCUUGAGCCUCACACCAUGUCAUCCUGCCAGGCACCCAGAUCCAGUUCUAGAGUUUCACAUGAUCGGUCAUCAGCCUUCAAGCUUCAGUCUCUGUGUGUUCACAGGUGCUGUAAACACACGCAUCACUACUAAUAUCCCACUUCAGUGCUAUUGCUGCUCCCAAAACUCCAGGUAUUUUUAACCUUAUAAACCUCCAGAAUAAUGAGACCACUGGGUUCAGUAAAUUGCUUUGUUUUGAAGCACUAUUAGACAAAGUGGGAGACUAGAAGAUAAAUCUGUCAAUGACAUGUCCUUUAAGACUACUUAGAUUUUGUUGAAUUUGUGGAUCAUUCCUUACUUGAGCAAAUGGUAAAUUAACUCUCUCUUUUCUCUCUCUCUCUAGCUGGCACACUUUUUCCAGUAGCCAUUCUACUUGGUAUGCUUACUUAUCAGCUGUCCUCCAGGGGCCUCACAUUAGAUGUUUCUCUGACUAACCAAACAUGACACACAGCUGAAGUCAGAAAAACCAGAUUGAUAAUUUCACUCAAACUAUUUUCCUUCAUUCUAACAAUUUACUGGAGUACACAAUUGUGACUAUUUUUAGCCAUAGGAACUCAUAGAAAGACCAACUUCAUUAGACCUACAAAAUCGAAUUGUGUAACAGUAUAUGCAGUAUGUGUAGGAAUAAAAAGCAUUUCUCAAAUAUGCAGUACUGGAUUUUGCAAAAGCACCUUACACUUAGCUAUAAAGGAGUGGAAAACACAAAGAUGAGUAACUGCACUUUUCAAAAGACUAGAGCUAUACCAAUAAUACAAAGGUGUAAACAAAUAAUGAUGAGAUGACAAAGGCUGAGUGUUUUCUAUUUGGAAGCUAUGUUGUUGAGUUAUUUAUGUAUAUAAUUUCAUGCAAUCUUCAUGUUAUGGGGAUGUUCUAAUCCACUGUGACUCUGUCCUUAAAUAAAAGGGAGAUUUGGACAUAGAGAGAGGCACACGGGGAGGAUGCCAUAUGAGAAUUGACACUGUGCUGUCACAAGCCAAGGAACUACUGGAAGGAGAGAAAGAGGACUGGAACAGUUCCUUCCUUAGCACCUUUUCAGGCAGCCUAGCCCUGCCAGCUUCUUGAUCUGGACUUCUCACCUCUAGAAUUGUGAGGCAAUAAAUCUCUGUUGCUUAAGUUA